GACGAACGCUGGCGGCGCGCCUAACACAUGCAAGUCGAACGGAGCUGAGAGAAGCUUGCUUUUCUUAGCUUAGUGGCGAACGGGUGAGUAACGCGUGAGUAACCUGCCCUGGAGUGGGGGACAACAGUUGGAAACGACUGCUAAUACCGCAUAAGCCCACGAUCCGGCAUCGGAUUGAGGGAAAAGGAUUUAUUCGCUUCAGGAUGGACUCGCGUCCAAUUAGCUAGUUGGUGAGGUAACGGCCCACCAAGGCGACGAUUGGUAGCCGGACUGAGAGGUUGAACGGCCACAUUGGGACGGAGACACGGCCCAGACUCCUACGGGAGGCAGCAGUGGGGGAUAUUGCACAAUGGGGAAACCCUGAUGCAGCGACGCCGCGUGGAGGAAGAAGGUUUUCGGAUUGUAAACUCCUGUCGUUAGGGACGAUAAUGACGGUACCUAACAAGAAAGCACCGGCUAACUACGUG
rnacentral:rRNA from 1 species